rnacentral:rRNA from 1 species
UCGGCAAAAUGACCCCGUAACUUAGGGAUAAGGGGUGCCACCAUCCGGUGGCCGCAGAGAAUAGGCCCAAGCGACUGUUUACCAAAAACAUAGGUUUCUGCUAAGUCGCAAGACGAUGUAUAGGAGCUGACGCCUGCCCGGUGCUGGAAGGUUAAGGGGAGCUGUUAGAGUAAUCGAAGCAGUGAACUUAAGCCCCAGUAAACGGCGGCCGUAACUAUAACGGUCCUAAGGUAGCGAAAUUCCUUGUCGGGUAAGUUCCGACCCGCACGAAAGGCGUAACGAUUUGGGCACUGUCUCA